ACUGCAGCGACGGUCUGGGUGUUGGGAUGGAGACAGUCGCAUUUUUACCUGCUAAUUGUCACAUUGCUGGGUUUCCCAACUAUUAAAGGCGGGUUCGUCGCAAGCUGUUAUAUAUUUCCUUCAAGCCCGUUCCACAAAUGAGGGCCUCUGGGUAAUCGCGUAUCACAAGAGAACCAAUUGGGAUGGAAUAAUUUAGCAGCAUUUUUCAAAUCUCCGCUCCUCGCUGCCGGAAUGGAAAUAGGUGCAUCGAUUUACAUCCCGGAUGGCGUUUGUGGAUCUGCAGCGCCACUCUCCUCUUCGACAGUAACAGGUCUGCUCUCCCUCCAGAUGCUCCGGUGGAUUUCGCGGAUUUACCUUGAAGCUAGCGCCGCCUUGGCCGGUGUGUUUGUAUGCAGCUGCUGCUCCCUCUCCCCCCCCCCCCCCCCCCCCGGCGUGGCUUUACCUCGAAACGCUGCAAAAGGAAUCAGAAUGUUGCCCAAGUAGCAGGACGUGCGCCGGGCCCUCUGAGGACAGCCCCGGGUGUGGAUCCAUCAGCGCCGAAGCACCGUUUAGUGCCACUGCUGGAAAUUAAAUUUCUACAUAAAUAAAACACUGCAGACCUCAGUGA